UACCCUUGGAUCCCCAUGUAAAUAAAACCGGAGACAUCUGGCACAUGCAUAUCAAGGAUCUGCCUCGGAGCAAUAUUCUCUAUUGCAUUGAUUGGGGAGAAAAUUACAAGCUUCCAGUAAAAUUUUCAGUUGCUGGUAGAGGGUUCAAGUAACCACUGAGCAUCAAAAUUUUCAAUUGCUGAUGUUCUUUCCCUGCCGAUAUAUAUGGAAGUAAUAUCUGUUACAAAAGCUUUUCUUGCGAAACUUAUCUGUCUUUUUAUACAUUAGUAGCUGCAGAAGUCCGUGAUUAUUGCAUUUUCAUAUAUUCCUGAAAUAUCUUAUCUGAAAUUUUUUGACGAUUCCACAUCUUUUAGAGCGAAGUGUCAAAGCUGUGGAGUUGCUGCCAGUCUUUGAGUUUUAGUUUCAAAGGCGCCCAAAAAUUUGCUGCCAAUCUUGCUGAAGAUUCUGUAUCGGCAGAUUCAUAAGACGAACCCAGACUUCACAUUGACGGAUGGAUUGAUGGUAACUUGAUAAUAUUGCUAUUAUAAGAUUAUGUACCACCUUAUGCUGUACAAAUUUGUCAACCCAUUUAAUUAUGUCAAUUUAUGUAUGCUGUGUUAUUGCAACCCACCUAUUUGCAUUUUAUUUUAAGAUUCUUGUACAGUAAUGUGUACUAUAUCUGUGGGCCAGUUCUUUUUCAAAUAAUAGUUUUUUUUAUGACUUUUAAGAUUCUUUCCAUGUGUACUUGAAACCCUAGUAUAGAUAUCUAUACCAAAUGAAUGAAUACAAUUUUGUUUGCACUUCACCAUAAUUCC